rnacentral:tRNA from 1 species
GUUGAUUAGAGCAAUGGUAGCUCGAUCGGCUUUCCGAUAGGUAGCAGGUUCGAUUCCUGUGUCAACCCCCA